rnacentral:rRNA from 1 species
AUUGAACGCUGGCGGCAUGCCUUACACAUGCAAGUCGAACGGCAGCACGGGUGCUUGCACCUGGUGGCGAGUGGCGAACGGGUGAGUAAUACAUCGGAACAUGUCCUGUAGUGGGGGAUAGCCCGGCGAAAGCCGGAUUAAUACCGCAUACGAACUACGGAUGAAAGCGGGGGACCUUCGGGCCUCGCGCUAUAGGGUUGGCCGGUGGCUGAUUAGCUAGUUGGUGGGGUAAAGGCCUACCAAGGCGACGAUCAGUAGCUGAUCUGAGAGGACGACCAGCCACACUGGGACUGAGACACGGCCCAGACUCCUACGGGAGGCAGCAGUGGGGAAUUUUGGACAAUGGGCGAAAGCCUGAUCCAGCAAUGCCGCGUGUGUGAAGAAGGCCUUCGGGUUGUAAAGCACUUUUGUCCGGAAAGAAAUCCUGGGCCCUAAUACGGUCGGGGGAUGACGGUACCGGAAGAAUAAGCACCGGCUAACUACGUG